AAGUUAACCUAUGUUUUGAGUGUUCAAAUAUUUCUCAGAAGGAGUUUCUUUAUUUUUUGUUUUGUUUACAAGAUAGAAAUACCCAGAUAAUUAAUUCCCUAUUAUUUUAUGAUACGUUGAACGUAUCACGGGAGGGAGAGAGCCGGAAGUAAAGAGCAUGAGGAGCGGGAAGAGAUCGAAAAAGGACGGAGGAUGUCACCGACACGAGUGCGUUUUAAAAGUUGUUAAAAGUCAUCUCCAGUAGGCCUGGACGACUGCUUACUGCCCAGUGGAAGUUGGAGAACGACCCUCGCUGUAAGGGAGUGAAUUAGACUGAGUUUUCAGGGACGACGGAGAGAAUUCAACGCUAACGCUAACGCUAGCGCUAGCAUCCUCGUGUCCGAGCAACCUACCUGCGUGCAGAAAGGAAGCAGACGGAGUUGUCGGCGUACAUUCACCGCUCGCCCUGCGUGGAGGACGACGGGGCAUGGAGUUCUGGGUGAUGGUGAUGAAUUCCCUGCACUCUGAUUAGGCCAGGCUGUUGUGACCGGUCACCGCUCUCAAGACAAUAGGUUCUAAUGGGUUUGCUAAAUGGCCAGAACCCGUCCUGUGGGAGAGAAGAAUCAUAUAACAAACAACUGCACAGAGGAGAACGAGUGAGGGAGUGGUUUUCUGCAAUAAGCGGCUGAAAUGGACGGGGAAUAGUUAAAGAGCCUGACCUGGCGGGGAACCAGAGGCAGUCAAAAUUAAACAGCUCACCUGAGGAUUACGUCCCCGGACCGGAGCUUCCUGAGCCAGUAGCCGCCAGGUCUGUACCGCUUUACCACUGGACAUUAAUUGUGACACUGAUUGAAGGUGAGUUGCAUCCACACCUGACGCCAGAUGGACAGAACCUCAGACUGACCAUCAGCAGAACUAACGAGAUGUGGAGGUCUGAAGAAACUGCUUCACAUGAUGCUCAUCACGUGAAUAAUUACAUGAACAUAGGAAGAGCGUGCUCCGUGCUUGGGGCCGCGCCUGAGGGGAGUCUCGUCAGUCACCCAGAACCUGGGCCACCUCCCGACAAGGUCGCAGAGGUGUCCCACCCCGAGAUUAAAGCGGCUCCAUUCAUCCAGUGAGGGCCCCCUCCAGGCAGCCAUUAUCAGAGCGGAUCGCUGUGCCAAAAAGCUCAAAUGGAUGCGUGGAGCACAGGCUGUGACCUUCCCACAGACCGCUGCCAUUUUCAAGCCUCUCAGUCUCACAGGAUGGCUCGCUGCUCGAAGUAUUGCUCCUUAUCGUUGGGAGUAAAAGGAACGUUUUACUUAUUUGUCUGGUCAUCGCUGUAGUGUUUUUUACACUUUUUUGUUUUUUACACUGUUUCCAGUGUUUGUGCUGGCGUUGGCUUCGGCGCAGGCAGGCAGUCUGGUUAAGGUCUCAGUCCAAAGAUCUCACACAAACACAGCUGUCAGAAUUGGCUCAUGUCCCUUAUUAGCGCCUGCUAGUGUGCACAUAUUUGCUUGUGUGGGUUCUGUCAGAACGCUGGGUCUCUGUGGGAGGGCAGACUGGCACCGGGACCUCCAAGCACUUAAGUUUUUUAUCCAUCCAUCAAUGAGGAUUUUUGUUUGUACCUUAAAAAAAGCAUCAAGUCUCUUCUGUGUGGACGAUGUUUGAGAUACAUGACCGUCACUUGCUGCCACUGAGGUUCCGGCUCUGCUUUCUGCUGUGAAUGUUCCCUGAAUGCAUCACCAGGGAGGCAGCUGAUUUGUAAUGAAGCCAUGCGGCAGUAUGUGACGGAUGAAUGUGAUGGUUCGACGUCGUCCGCCUUCUAUUUUCAGGAGCUGGGUCUGAAUGUGAUUGGAUGCUGGGCCGAGGAGUAGAGCGUCCAGCGUUCCACCGCUGAUUACGGUCAGUCAAUCAGCAGAUGGAGGAGUUCAGAUGAAGGCGGACUCAAGGAAUGCCGGGUGAACUGCUAUCUCGCAGCUUCUGAUUGCAGAACACACCUUAUCAAGGUAAUAGGCUAUUAGGGUGGGGAUAAUUAA